rnacentral:rRNA from 1 species
UACGGGGGGGGCAAGCGUUGUUCGGAAUUACUGGGCGUAAGGGCUCGUAGGCGGCCAACUAAGUCAGACGUGAAAUCCCCAGGCUCAACCUGGGAACUGCGUCUGAUACUGGAUGGCUUGAAUCCGGGAGAGGGAUGCAGAAUUCCAGGUGUAGCGGUGAAAUGCGUAGAUAUCUGGAGGAAUACCGGUGGCGAAGGCGGCAUCCUGGACCGGCAUUGACGCUGAUGAGCGAAAGCCAGGGGAGCAAACGGG